AGAGUUUGAUCCUGGCUCAGGAUGAACGCUAGCUACAGGCUUAACACAUGCAAGUCGAGGGGAAACGACAUCGAAAGCUUGCUUUUGAUGGGCGUCGACCGGCGCACGGGUGAGUAACGCGUAUCCAACCUGCCCACCACUUGGGGAUAACCUUGCGAAAGUAAGACUAAUACCCAAUGACGUCUCUAGAAGACAUCUGAAGGAGGUUAAAGAUUUAUCGGUGAUGGAUGGGGAUGCGUCUGAUUAGCUUGUUGGCGGGGUAACGGCCCACCAAGGCGACGAUCAGUAGGGGCUCUGAGAGGAAGGUCCCCCACAUUGGAACUGAGACACGGUCCAAACUCCUACGGAGGCA
rnacentral:rRNA from 1 species